UGAGAGUAAAUAUAUAUUAUCAAGCGACAAAUGUUUUUUCCCCAAUUUUCUUAUAAUAGCGACAAGUAAGCAAAAAAAUGCUGUCAAUCAAGCCUUUAAAACAAAGAAUUUCAUACCAAGUUGACAAACCCACAACUCGCAUUUAGUGUUGUGUCACUCAAAUUCAAAUGCGAUCUGGUCCUUGAAAAGCCCAAUUGUCAAUUGGAAGUUGCAUAGGACAAAGAAGAUUUUGUGUAGGACCAGCUCCUAUACAAAAUCUUUUUCUUUACAAUUUUACUUACUUUAUUAGUGCUGCUCCUGCAUAUUAAAUAGCGAGCAUAAGCGCACCGUGUCGUUUAUAUGUAUUCGAUCCUCUCCUUCGUGGGAGUGAGUGAGAGUUACAUAACAAAAAGGAAGGAGUGGAUUGGAUUGCGUACUUUGCUUAAUAACAGCAGUGUCAUGAACAAAUGUCCUACAAUCAAAUGAACAGGGGCGAGUAGUAAAUAAAUUCAAGUCGUCUUUCAUCUUCAUUUGGUUGGUCAAAUGAAUGUCAUUUCGUCGUCCCAUGGCUGCUGCUGUCAUUUGUCCUUUUGCUGUGUAGCUAUUUACAAUUCAGGUACGUUUUUUAACAGGAUAUGUAUGCAUUGCAAGGUUGAUAAAUAUGAUACCAGUGGAAAUGUAGAUGUACAAAUCUAUAAAUAUGUCGAGUUAUUGCAGAGAAAGAUAAAUACACUUUGGCGAAAGAAAGCUGAAAUCUUUGCCUUGAAUUGUUCCUUUAUGCAGCCACGUCGUGUUGAAGGUAUGAAUAUCUCGUCAUUUAUUACCGACUGUUAUACAUCUUAGCUAGUAAAAGUGUUUUUUAUGCAUAAAUUUUAUCGAUUGUAUUGCACCAUGCACUGAAGGAAAUGAGUGAUUGAACUGUAUAAUUGAGCCAAGUAGUAUUAUCAAAGUCGUGCCGUGCCAAAGUUAUCAAGAAGUGCAUGAUAUAUCUCUUGACUUUUACGCCCGUCUCGUCGUCCUCGUCUAUAUUUUCUAAGCGAUGUGCUGUGCGGUUCGUUAUUGACCGAGACCGAUUGGCUUGGCUUGAGUGAUGGGGCCAGAGAAGCUUCUCACGAAAACCAUUAUUCAUUAAUUAGACAAUUAGGUGGUGGAGUGGAGAAAACUUGGUGCUUGGCAGUUACAAAUGUAUGAGGAUGAGUAGCCGAUAGGAGAGAAUUGUUUAAUGGGUUAGUCGUAUAUACGAAUCUUGUACCUGGUUUUGACACAAUUUCGAAUCGACGAGUUACGUACCCCCUUUUACUUUUUAAAACGGUACAUUUGUUUACCUUUAAGGGUUAGAUUAGAUGAGUUAUCGAUUUCCUGAACCUGAAAUAUUUACAUUUAUACGAGAAAUUGAAUCCAAAAGUUCUCUUGAACCUACCAAACCAAAUAUUUUAUUAGUACAGGAGCAGAUUGAAAACGUUCCAUUGUAGGUAAUAAUACGUAAGUAAAAGCUUUUCAGUCUCACCCUGCGUUGAAAGAUUAAAAGUAUUAAUAACAAACGAUUAAGAGUCCAUGCACUACUACCACCAGCCACGACGUAUUUAGUAAGAACGAGACAAGGAAUAAUAACGCAUAAUAAGAAAGGGUUGAGGUUCUCGUUUGAAGUUUGAUCGUUUUCUCGACUCUGAGAAUAAAUUGUCAUGCUCCCCCACUGUUUGAUAACAAAUAGACCAAAGUCCAGGAUAAAUAGGUUUGUGCUGGAAUUAAACGAUGUUGAUUUGAUGCUGGGGUUCAUAAAGAAAGAAAGACACCAGUUCUUCCCCUAAAAAAGAGACCAGACCAGAUAAACACAAAUGAGAUGGAAUCAAUUCUAUUAGUGUAAAACUCAACAGGCAAACUUUUUUCCAAGUGCAAGGUUAAGGUAAAAGUUUGAGAUAUUUUUAUGAGAAUGUGUGUGUCUGUAGAGAGAGGAUGACGGAUACGUUCCAUCGCUUUUCGCAUCGAUUUCACUGAAUCAAAUAAAAUUAAUUGUAAAUGCAAUUGUGGGUACAAGGACAAAUGUACCACAACAUUUUUUGAAUUCUGUGCAACCACACCCCCUAUAAAAAUAAAGGAAGAAAGUUCGGAAAAAUGAGAAAGUCAAUGUACAUCGUGUAGAACAAGAGUUAGACCUAUACUUGCAUUUGCAAUUUGACUUCCCCUUGGAAUAUGAACAUUUUAAUGCAUCAAGAGUUUCAAAAUUCGAAAAUUGGCGGUUUUUUUACAUACACAGAAAUCCUUAAAAACCGAAUGGUACCAGCCAUUUACUUCGGACAACCCGAUGCCAGAUUUUUCUCCUUGGGAACAGCUACAUUUUCAGCUUUUGUUGCCCGAAGAGAAACGCUGGUACCAUGAGAAAUUUGGGGUCAAAGUUUCUGAGGGAGGGACUUAUACGGCAAGUGCCGUAACUAACGAGGGCUAGUGAUAUAUCAACACAUCAUUUUUUUGUAUUUUGAUAAGCCUACAUUUAAGUAACCCAGUAUAGUUAAUUAAAUGAGACGCAUGAUUGAGUGAGGUUGACAAAGUGCGACGGAUACGGCACUGACGCACGAAUCCGCGCGAUGGUGGUGGAUACCCACCAGAACCCAAGUUUAACACUUUGUCUUGCGAAAUAUGGAAAAUGCUUUUGUGGAACACUUCCUCUGGUUUAACUCUGUACGUGUGUAUGGGAUGCAGAGGGCGGAUAUGUAUUUAUUUUCUACUUUUCGUUUGAUGACAACCGAGAAAUUUUAGAUGUUUUUUUUUCAAAAAUUUUGUAAAAAUUUUGUAAAUAUUUGCGAUUUUUUGCUCAAAGCAAUUGGGCUUGAAAAAAAAUCAAGAGCAGAUUGAAAUCUUGAAUUGAAAUCAAUCAAAAAAUGUAAAUAUAUGAAAGUUUUUAUUUUUAUGCUUUUUCCGUACAUAUUUCCUAAAUAUUUUGACGUUUUUUUCGUAAAUAUUAAAUACAUUUAAACGAUUUUUCGUAAAUACAUAUCCGCCCUCUGAUGCCAUGGGUGGCUCUGGCUUAAGGACGCUUUUACAUACCGAGGUUAAAUAACAUUGCAUUUCUCUCUCUACUCUCUACUAUGUCUGGGAGAAGAAGGCACUCAAAUUAAUUAAAAUUAGAUCUGCAGCUGAGUUAAACUUUUAAAUGAGAAUGGUUGUUGCAGCAUUGAGCCGGCUGGAAUUGGGAUGCUUGGUUGGGUUUACUUUUUUGUUUUGUAUCUGCAUCUCUCCUCCAACCAUCAGUGGUGCUCAUCAUCACAUUACACAACACAGGGUAUCAACAACAAUGCAGUAGUAGGAGCGAGGAGUGUGAUGAUACCUUGUUUUGUGUGGCGUUGGUGAAAAGAAUGUUUAUUGUUGGGGUUUUUGGGAAGAAGGAGAUGAUGACGAGCGAGGUAGGGAAUUGAGGGGUUUGUGUGGAUUGGAUUGUUGCACCCGACUUUUGACUCGUUCAAAACCCAGUUUUUGGUGCACUUAAUAAUAUUAUUAUUUGGGAAAUGGUUGAGUUCCAUUUCAUUAUUGUGUGGUAGUUUUUUCCCUGUGAAAAGAGGAUCCAGAAUGAUGGAAGGUUGGGAUAAAUAAGGUUGAAACUAUGAAGAAUCACACCUUGGAUUUUGGCAAUGUGCCCUCUCUCGCAAUAAUAAUAACAAGCUUGAUGAUGAUGCCAUUACGCGGAUAUCAUGUCAAGGAGGUAUAAUUCCGAGAAGGUUCAUGUAUCCAUUGUAAAUUUCGCAAGGGUUGACAAUAACGCAACGUAGUGUUUACUUUACCAUUGUAACUGUAGAUCUGCAAUAAAAUAAAUAAAUCCCAUUAUGAUGCUAAUUAAAAAAAUUAAAAUUUGCAUGUAAGUAAAUCUUUCUUAUAAAUAAAUCUCUUCUUGAGAAGAAGAAGAGAUUCCGUGUAGUAGAAAGUGGUAUUAUUAUUUAUCUAUAUUCGAAAAGCCUGCAAUUAUGCACAAAGCAAACACAUAUAAUAUGUUACUACGUACUAUUUAGUGUGUCGCAAUAAUACAAUAAAUUCCCUUUCAUUUCACGUCAUCCUCAUUUUCUGAAUGAAAUCCGCAUUCAUUUCAUUCCACAAUUAAAGGCAAUUAAUCAUAAUCAUUAGCAAUGCCUCGCCUGCAGUGCUACAAUGGAACAUAUCUUUUGCUUAGGUACGUACAGUGGCCGCGGAAGUGUGGGUGGGGACAGAGGGACAAUGUCCCCAUAGUUAUCCGAUGUCCCCAUCAUCUCGCCAUGUUAUGUAAACCCCGCCCUCCUCUAUCCUACAAUGUUAAUGUCCCCACGGCUUCCGCGGCCACUGCGCAUAAGAAGAGUCGUCGCAUGCAUGAGAUGAGAAACAAGAGGAGAUUCGUUUCGUUGCAGAGAGAGUAAAAGUAAUAAUUGAUGAGCAGCAGGCAUUUUAUAAAUCGAUGCAAUGCGACACAAACAAUGCUACACAACCAACAAUCACAUAUACAUUUCGUACAAUGCGUCAAUAGAUAUGAAUCUGCAUUGUGGUCUUUUAAGCAGAAUACUC